rnacentral:rRNA from 1 species
GAUGAACGCUGGCGGCGUGCCUAAUACAUGCAAGUCGAGCGAACAGACGAGGAGCUUGCUUCUCUGAUGUUAGCGGCGGACGGGUGAGUAACACGUGGAUAACCUACCUAUAAGACUGGGAUAACUUCGGGAAACCGGAGCUAAUACCGGAUAAUAUUUUGAACCGCAUGGUUCAAUAGUGAAAGACGGUUUUGCUGUCACUUAUAGAUGGAUCCGCGCUGCAUUAGCUAGUUGGUAAGGUAACGGCUUACCAAGGCAACGAUGCAUAGCCGACCUGAGAGGGUGAUCGGCCACACUGGAACUGAGACACGGUCCAGACUCCUACGGGAGGCAGCAGUAGGGAAUCUUCCGCAAUGGGCGAAAGCCUGACGGAGCAACGCCGCGUGAGUGAUGAAGGUCUUCGGAUCGUAAAACUCUGUUAUUAGGGAAGAACAAAUGUGUAAGUAACUAUGCACAUCUUGACGGUACCUAAUCAGAAAGCCACGGCUAACUACGUG